rnacentral:lncRNA from 1 species
AGCAUUUCAGAGCUUCAGAUUAGCAAGAAGCCCUGCAGUUACUGGAGCGUAGCGAAGGGUUUUGAGCAGGGGAUCAGCACCUGCUUUUCGGCUUUCAUUGGAGUUUCUCUUCAGCCAUCAGAAGAGUAAAGGAAAACCAGAAACUGCCAUCAGAAUGAGCAGCAUGAUUAUACAUCAGUAACAAGCAAAUUGCUUGUCAAAAAGUAAGUUUUCUUGCACCGAGCAGACCAGGAGCUAAGGACUUUUAUGAUUGAUAGACCAAACGUACCACCAUCUGAAGGGUAUAGCUCAGUAGCCAUUUUCAGAGCAUGACUACAGGAAAAGACCCUGAACUGCUGCAACUGUUCAUCUCAGAUUAUGUGAUAGGAAGAAGAAAAAGAAGAGGAAGAAAGAUAGGAAGAAGAAAAAACAUCAAAACAACAAAUAAAACCUAGCCUAGCUUUCCUCAUAUUGACCAAAUUAGGAUUCUUUUUCUGUGUCACGUAACAUUUAUCUUUUUAUAGAGCAGUGACAAUUAUAUGGCUUUUCCUUUGUCUCGUCUUGGCUAUACUGCGGUGAUUUGCAACAAAACUGAUGUUUAUAUAUUCAUUUUCACUCCAAGAGCAGGCUGCUGCUGUGUCUGAAAGAAACGUUUAAACUUCUCGUUUGUCAUUUUUCUAUUGUUUUUGGUUGGAUUUUUUUAUUUUUUUAUUUUUUGCUUUUUGGUGUUUUUUUUCCUAUGUCUCUUUUGUUGUUGUCUGUCAUAUUGGCUCCCUACUUCAGUAUUUAUUAUUCUUUACACUUUUUUUUUUCCCUACAGCACAGCAUUUCAUCUCAGAUGACUGUUUGACCACAGUGUUUCUCUGUAAAAGACGCAUGUAGCAGUUUUGAAAAGUCUACUUAGGUCUUACCACCUAUUUUAUCAGCUAAAAUGCUGAAGGUUAUGCUUAGAUUUCAUAUAUAUAUAUAUA